GGCAGCGGGUACUGAUAAUAGUCAGUCAGGUGCUGUCUGUCGAUGUGGUUGGACGGGUGGGAUCGGCCUGGUGCAGAGCUGGAUGAACACAGCAGGCCAAGCUGCAUCGUAGGAACAGAUUUUGUGUUUCCUUUAUUCUGGCUCAACUGAAUUUUCAAGAUGGAUUAGUUCUAGCAGAUUUUCUUCUGUUACCUUAUACUGAAUGAGGAAAGGAUGAUUCCAGUCCCUAUUUACAACAAUGCUGUAAUACAGCAAUAGAGGAAAUAAUGGGGUAGAAUUUUCACAGUGGUUCAUUGAUCACUGACUAUAACUUCAGUUGGAGAUCUGCAGACAGCUUGG